UACGUAGGUGGCAAGCGUUGUCCGGAAUUACUGGGCGUAAAGGGCUCGUAGGCGGCCAACUAAGUCAGACGUGAAAUCCCCAGGCUCAACCUGGGAACUGCGUCUGAUACUGGAUGGCUUGAAUCCGGGAGAGGGAUGCGGAAUUCCAGGUGUAGCGGUGAAAUGCGUAGAUAUCUGGAGGAACACCGGUGGCGAAGGCGGCAUCCUGGACCGGCAUUGACGCUGAGGAGCGAAAGCCAGGGGAGCAAAGCGGG
rnacentral:rRNA from 1 species